CCGAAAUCGAAAGUGGAAGUGAAAUGUUUGUAUCGUUUUGCUGAAGUAUUCCAUCGGAAAUAACAGACAAACAAGACGAUUAGUUUAUUGAAGAGCUACAUAUUGUCGACGAAUUGUAUUUUGUCCAAAUAGAAAGUUCCCAAAGUGAAAAUCUGAGCAAUGAUGACGGAGUCGGUGUAUGUUAUGUUAAUUAAGUGUUUAACUUAAUUAACUAGUUACAUGUAUCUUCAAGACAUAUCUCUGCCUCGGGUCUUUUCUUAUUCUUCAUGAUUCAAAUAACGUGUUUGCGAGUUAAGCAAUUAACCAGUAAGAUAUUGUCACAUACUAGUAUGGAAGUAAAGAAAAAAAGAACAAAAGAAAAAAAAAGAAGUUCCAUAAGAUUGCAGAAAGUAUGAACAAAUCCACCAGAAAUGGUCAUAAUAUUUCCCUGUUAGUUAAAGAUAUGGAGAAACCGGUCAUAUUUUGUGAUUGGAAGAAAUACUUUCAGCAGUAAUUUAAAACACUUAAGCAUAUUAGCACUUAUCACCACUUCAUAGUUGAUUCAACCAAACCAGGAUAUGUUGUUUUUAAAGAGUCAUGUGACUCUGUACCUAUAACCAUCAAUUGGUUAAAAAAGAACACUAGAAUUUCAAAUUUACUAUGCCAAACACUUUAACAUCAGAAGGAUUAGAUGCAGCCAGACAAUGGUAUAUGUACGAACAAAUCAGGAAAUAUUGUUAUAGCGAGGCUGUUAAAGAUGUCAUUUGUCCAAAGCCAACAAUUGCCAAAAGUGAGGUUGACUUGACCAGUGAUGUGGAUACCAAUAAACACAAAUGUCCAUCAAGGAAGCAGAAUCUACUUAAUUAAAAUACACACAAAUAUA